rnacentral:rRNA from 1 species
UGAACCAGCCAUGCCGCGUGAAGGAUGAAAGUCCUCUGGAUUGUAAACUUCUUUUAUCUGGGAUGAAAACGGGAUUUUUAUCGCAAUUGACGGUACCAGAGGAAUAAGCACCGGCUAACUCCGUGCCAGCAGCCGCGGUAAUACGGAGGGUGCGAGCGUUAUCCGGAUUUACUGGGUUUCACGGGUGCGCAGGCGGGAUGUUAAGUCGGCGGUGAAAUUUUGGAGCUCAACGGUAAAAGUGCCGUCGAUACUGGCCUUCGUGAGGGUGGAUGAANUAGGCGGGAUAUGUGGUGUAGCGGUGAAAGGCUUAGAUAUCACGAGGAACUCCGAGUGCGCAGGCAGCUUACUAAGCCACAACUGACGCUCAUGCACGAAGGCGUGGGGAUCAAACA